rnacentral:rRNA from 1 species
CCUACGGGUGGCAGCAGUGGGGAAUAUUGGGCAAUGGACGCAAGUCUGACCCAGCAACGCCGCGUGAAGGAAGAAGGCUUUCGGGUUGUAAACUUCUUUUAAGGGGGAAGAGCAGAAGACGGUACCCCUUGAAUAAGCCACGGCUAACUACGUGCCAGCAGCCGCGGUAAUACGUAGGUGGCAAGCGUUGUCCGGAUUUACUGGGUGUAAAGGGCGUGCAGCCGGAGAGACAAGUCAGAUGUGAAAUCCACGGGCUCAACCCGUGAACUGCAUUUGAAACUGGGUGUCUUGAGGGCAGGAGAGGAAAGUGGAAUUCCUAGUGUAGCGGUGAAAUGCGUAGAUAUUAGGAGGAACACCAGUGGCGAAGGCGACUUUCUGGACUGUACCUGACGCUGAGGCGCGAAAGCGUGGGUAGCGAACGGGAUUAGAUACCCCAGUAGUC